rnacentral:tRNA from 1 species
GGGGUUGUAGCUCAGUGGCAGAGCACCUUGCCUGGCAUGGGCAAAGCCCUGGGUUCAAUCCCCAGCACCA